UAAGAUAUACCCAAGGCAGUUCGUGUAAUUUAAUUGAUUCGUGUCCAUGGACACGAUUUUCCCCUUUUUUUCGUGCCAGUCAGAACGACUUUCAAUCUAAUGUAUUUCAAUAGGAAGUAUUUUUCGUGCCUGCACCACGUUUUUUUGUCCUAUUAUUUUUUUCGUGUUUAUAAGCACGAAUUUAAUCUAAUGUAUUGCAAUAGUAUAUACCAGGGAUUGUUUUACUUUAUUUGUCAUUAAUUGAUUACACUUUAAGCGCUACUUUACUCAACAUUUAAUCAGGAGAUGUUUAUCCUAUAAUAUUGAUUUUUUGAUCGGUUUCGUGUGUCAAAUACAAGAAUUAAUACUACAGUACCCAUGAGCCUUAUCGACAUCUACUAUGGUGAAGGCACCAGCUAAAACUACAUGUGGGCCCGCUGCAGAUCACAAUAUUUUCUCAACACAUGAAUACUAACGUGUGCUUGAUAAUUCAACAAUACGAUGUUAUGGCCAUCAAUUUUGAUUGUUUCUACUUUGAUUGUAAAAAAAAAAAUAAGUCAGUUUCGGACGCCUGCAUUUCCCAGAAUCCUCUCUGCCUUCGUUGCUAUGGAAUCUGAGCCAGUCCUCUUUGCUAUUGGGUGAUUUCUUCUUCGGUACUCGUAAUUGACAGGGAUUCUCUCAUACGCGAAAAUCAUUGUCCAGGUAAGUCACGAUGCUUUCGUUUAAAGUUCACUAUUUGUUUAAAUGUUAUAAUUCACGCCUUUCUUUUGGCAUUACGCUGACAUUGCCAUAGCCGUACGAAAAUUAACCAUGUUUUUGUGGUAAAAGUGUAGUAACUACGGUUUGUGUAUCGAUUAUUUGCAAAAUGGUUUUACUAAACCAAACAUGGUUUAACUUUUUUUUUUCAAAUUCAUGGUUCUUUCUUAACUUGCAACCUAUCUCUAUAUAUACUGCAUCUGUUGUACCUGUCUGUCCAGCUGUGUGUUUGUCUUUCUGUCUUUGUCUGCUUUGCAAUGGCCACCAGAUAUACCCCUCACAAACAGGAUCCCCACUACCAAGAGGGGAGGCUCAUGGCUCUUGAGCUGAACCAUGACCACAUUCUAGCUGAAGCCAAGAGCAGCUGUGGAGACGAAAUGUUUAUGCCCUAGAAGAGACCCUUCACAGACCUCUAAAAGGAUCUUUGUUGGCUGGGGCAAGCCGAGGGGGAGGCAAGGAGGGUGACGCCAAGCCUCAGCUACAGGUCACUUUUACAGGUUGAGUGCUUCCUGUCAUCCAGUGUGGAGUUUCCACUUAACUGUACCCUCAGCAAAACUAAAUCCUCAUGAGGAAUUUGGUGCAGAGAGUGGUUCUGUGGGGACCGUGAUGUAUUACGUCACAAAAAACAGCCACUCCCCAAUAGGGAAUGUGUAAUUAAUAGUUUUUUUGUAGCCAUCCGUCCAACCAAAUGCAUCAUUAAAGGGGAAGAUGGAUAUUGCACUCAACACAAGGUAUGUUCUCAAAAAAGCCCUAAUUUUGAUGUUUUUAUGUGUCUGCAGCCAGUAACAGGUAAUCUAAACUAGUGGUUUUCUUUCUUUUUGGCAGUCGGCAAGAUGACAUACCACUGUUGUAAACGCACAAACGGCGUUUUGACUUGCCUCAGCCACUGUAUGUCUGUUAAACAUGCAAACAGCAAAGGACCCCAGACCUGAAAGACCUUCUGAGGAGUGGAUAUUGGCCAGCUUCAAUAAACAACACCACACUUUACACACUGGACCUCCUGAUCUCCUUUCAAGAACUCAAGGUCAUCUCUCCAAGAUUUUCCAGACAAGCCUUCGCAAAGCUGCUGGAGCAUCGCACGAAGUGUGGAGGAAGAUUUGGAUAUAUCAACGGCGAUGCACUGCAAUGCAGCUUCUUGGAGUUUUCAUACGCUUCAUUUGAAUCAGACCAGCUCUGGUGUGGUGCUCCUUUCACCUGCCCAGCCUGAACGCUAGAAUUGUUGGCUGCUUCAGCAGAUCGAAACAGAAAGCUAUAUCGCUUUUGCCGAAACAGAAGACUGUGGCUUGCAAAUAUUGGCCAUACUUGAAGAAAGUUGCUAGUGUCCUUCCUGAUCUUCAGGAGCUGACCUCAAUGAAACCUUUCCUUAAUGUCAUGCAUGCUUGAGCCACGCUACAACGUGUGAGAUUAAAUGAAGUGGUAGGAACCAGGAAGGAACAGGGACAACCACCGGUGAGUGGAGCAAGUGAACAGCUACCUUUCACGUUGUGCCCGUACAACCAAAUAUAUGUCCAAAGCAGCACGGGUGGACAUGCUUACAUUGCAUGCAAUGGGCUGGAACCAUAAAAAAGUAUCUCUCUACAUCAGGCACUUUCCACAAUAUAUGUGAAAACAUCCAGCACGAGACUGCAAAGCUAGCAGAACUAAAAACAAAGCUACAUUGCAAAGAUGAAGUGCCGUCACAAUGGCUUUCUGAUGUGAAAGAAUGGGCAGCUGGUGCAGCAUGCUUCGCCACCGCCUUCGGAGUAAGCUGGCAGAGGACAAAAAGCUCCUUCUUCAGGAGAUACAGAAAUACAAUGAUCUUGUACUAGACUCUGCCACAAACAUCAUUGACCUAGCUUUGGUGGAGCAUUCCCUCACUGGAGAGAGCAGUGUGUCUCAGAUAUGGCCGUGCGACCUUAAUGGCAGUGCAAACAUUUCAGUCAAGAAACGAUUGCAUGACCAAGUGAUGUUGACAAUGUGACUGCAAGAGGAAAGGGGCAUUGUGGUGUUGGAGAUGGCACAAGACUACACAUGUGUGCAGAGCCUGGCAGUGGCUCUCAAGAACAAGAUGGCUGAGGAGGACAAGGGAAAUGAAGGACUUUGCUGUCUCUUAAGAAGAAGAUCGUCAGUGGUGUCAGAAGGGUUGCAAGUCGUCCUUCAACAAUACAAGACUGCAUAAGGUCUUGAGGCCUCUGUCCUUCUACAUGUUGAAGAAGAAGAUCAAAGUGACCUCAGCAGUCCAGAUACCAGCGAGGAUGAAAACAUAAUUUAGAUAGAAACUGCACAAAGGACUGCGUUUAAGGAAAUGGACUUGGCAUAUAUCUGUGUAGUGUUAGUAUGCUAACUACAUUAUUAUCUGUAUGCAUCCUAUAUUGUUGAAAUGUUCAACCUGUGUCUAGAUUAUCAAGCAUGUUAUUUAGGACGUUGAUGCUCCUUAAAUAUGCACAAACAUCUCAAUAUAGGUGUAACAAUCGUAUGAUAUUAUCAGAUGUAAUAAUUGAACUGAUGUUAUAUUUGGCUAGUGUAUUCAUAAUUUGUGUUUUUAAAGUUGCUAAUGGGCAUUGUUAGCCACAUCACAAACUCAAUGUUAAAACACUGCUUUUUGUGCUUUAUUGUGUUUAUGUACUUGCAUUGGUGCAGUAAUAUUGAUGUAAUGCAGUAAGGUCAUUGGUGUGUUUUACAAUGGCUUUGAACAGAGCUCAACCAAUCAGAAUAAUCAUUGAUAAUAAAGUAAAAGUUUUAUAACGGGUAAGUUGGUAUGAAAUAUUGUAAGCACAUUCAUCAGGAUGACUUUGCUGACCUUUUGACCUUUAUUACCACAUUUAGGCCAAACUGUGAAAACUCUACUUGAUUGAGUGUAUUAUAGGAUAUAACUGUUGUGCACCAUUGAAGAUAAACAUCAUAAAUUCUUUCUUAAAGAUGGAUAAUUUGUUGGCAAUGUGUCUGUCACUAUCAGUUCUGUUCUUAUAAGCACAUUGUACAUUAAGCACUAUAGUAUGCAAAAGAAAAAUACACUACAUUUAUAUUUUAUGAUUAUACUUAUAUUGUGUAUUACUACAUUUGAUAGAUAACUUUAUUCCCCUGUUCUGCUGGUUGUUUUCAAGUGAACUUAACAGUUUAGUGUUAUUAAAUUCAGCCUUAUGGCUUGAUUGACAAAUUUGCAUUUCAUGUAUUUUCACUGCUUUUAUUGUGAAAGACAAAAAAUAAAGUGUUUCUAAACAUGAA